rnacentral:lncRNA from 1 species
GCAUUCACCCUCCCACCCAGUAUCUCAGCUGCGUGUCCUCUGCUCUGCUUACUAGCUGGUUUAAGAGUACACCAAAGUGAGUCCAAGUUGUCCUUCUGCCAGUUUAUAUCUUGGAUUUGACUUUGGAGUCUGGCUGAAAUCGCUGAUCCCCUGGGAAGACUUUCAGGAGUAAAAGGAUCCCCAUGCCCCCUAAGACUGUGGAUGCUGAAUGAGUACUCAAGCAUUCUGAGGGAUGGGCACACAGGGAACAGGAGUCCUCAUCUGAACAUGGUUGGCCCAGCCUCCUACCAUGCCAGGAUCCUGUGUUCCUUUCAUGUGUCAGGCUGCUGUCUGGCUGGACCCACCCUCUUGGCUGGACAUGCUCAGGUGUGUGCUCUCUUGUCUCUCCCCAGGCUGACUUCCUUCACAGGAUCUGGAAUCUAACAGAAACCUCAGUGUAUGUAUACAUUCCAGUAUUGAGUCAGAUCCAAGUUUUCUCCCCUAGGGAUCUGCAAAUCCAGAUGUGACUGGGCUCCAUCAUCACAAUCUCUCAUCAUUCUAUGACAGUUACGAUUCUCCCA